rnacentral:rRNA from 1 species
UACGUAGGUGGCAAGCGUUAUCCGGAAUUAUUGGGCGUAAAGCGCGCGCAGGCGGUCCUUUAAGUCUGAUGUGAAAGCCCACGGCUCAACCGUUGGAGGGUCAUUGGAAACUGGGGGACUUGAGUGCAGAAGAGGAAGAGCGGAAUUCCACGUGUAGCGGUGAAAUCGUAGAGAUGUGGAGGAACACCAGUGGCGAAGGCGGCUACUCUGGUCUGUAACUGACG